ensembl:ribozyme RNase_MRP RNase MRP
AGGCGCUUGCUGAAGGCCUGUUGCCUAGGCUACAAACGGAGGACGUGUUCCUUACUCUGCGCCUAGGGGAAAGUCCCCGGACCUCUGGCAGAAAGUGCCACGCACGCAUGUGCGUCUGGCCUAUGUCGCAGCUCCCCUUAACCCCGCCGAGAAGCGCUUCUACUUCGGUGGAAGAGCCGAGUGGAAGGAGCGCGGCGAGGCCGCCCUUAGUCAGAGAAGCAUAGUUACGCAGGCAGUGCGCCAGGCGCACUAACUCCACGGGGCUCAUUCUCAGCGCGUC